UCCUAAUGAAAUCAACCGACGUCGUUUUGGUGAGCAUCCAGCGUUGAAGAUGCGAGGUACUCAUCGAUAAAACCCAGUCGACGAUCAUUUCGGUCGCCCCCAAGGUAGUGAAGAUCAGCAGCAGUCGUCCUCCCGUUUCUCCCAAGGUGGAAACAUUCAGAAACCCAAUUGAUGCAGAAACAAUUCUGAGAAAAGAAACCAGUUGAUGCAGAUCUUUGAUGUAUUGUGAUCAACAGAAACUACAAAAGAUUCCAGAAAACUUGAAGCAAAACAGGAGGAAGAAAAGUGAAAGAGUGGGGGAAAAGGAAUGGACACCAAACGCUAGUGGAAAGUGGAAAAUCCACUAACAAAAGCAAAGAGCAUGGAGAGCGAUUUGAUGGUGAUGCAAUGAGCUUGCUGGAAAUUUCUGUGAUAUGGACGCACGUUGUACUCCUCUAGCUAACAUCAUCUGAUGAUGGCGAUGACCGUUAUCUACCCCAAUCUUCACCCAAUUAUCUGACAAAAUUUUACAAUUGACGUAAAGAAAAGAAGGAAAUACCGUCAAUGGGACUUGUUUAGUAAAUGACUAAGCUCGGUGCGUUAAGGGUUUGGCUCGUUAAGGCACGAGUCGAGGUUGAGCUCAAAUUUUUGGCUCGUUUAGUAAACGAGCCGAGGUCGAGCUUGAUAAAGCUUGACUCGGCUUGUUUGCUGCCCAUCUUAAAUUCACAAGCAGAUUUUCUGAUCCCAUCUCUACUCUCUCCUAUAGGAACUUUUUCUUUUGGAAACAAACACUGUUGCUCAAUAA